GUAGAUGUAGUUUAACAUAAAACAUUAGACUGUGGCUCUAAAAACAGGGGUUAGAAUCCCCUCAUUUACC
rnacentral:tRNA from 1 species